UAUCCCUCCCAUCGCUGCGGCGCGGGGAGGGGUUUAAACGGGAAUCCGGUGAAGGCGCCUCGCGCGUCCAUUCCGGAGCUGCCCCGCAGCGGUGAAUGGAAACGAAUCCUGCCAACAGCACUGGGCUCGCGCCUGGGAAGCGGCAGGUAGUAGGUGGGCUGCGGCCCGAGUCCAUCAGCCCGAAUACCGGCCCCGGCCGGGGGACACGAC
rnacentral:ncRNA from 1 species